rnacentral:snoRNA from 1 species
CAUGAAAAGACAAUGAUGCUCGACUUCCAAGUACAUAUCUGAUGUGUUCUGUGGACGCUCUAAGACGGAGUCAUUGUUGGUUUUUUUGUG